rnacentral:rRNA from 1 species
UGGUAAUUCUAGAGCUAAUACAUGCUGAAAACCCCGACUUCCGGAGGGGUGUAUUUAUUAGAUAAAAAACCAACGCCCUCCGGGGCUCCUUGGCGAAUCAUAAUAACUCAACGAAUCGCAUGGCCUUGCGCCGGCGAUGGUUCAUUCAAAUUUCUGCCCUAUCAACUUUCGAUGGUAGGAUAGUGGCCUACCAUGGUUUCAACGGGUAACGGGGAAUUAGGGUUCGACUCCGGAGAGGGAGCCUGAGAAACGGCUACCACAUCCAAGGAAGGCAGCAGGCGCGCAAAUUACCCAAUCCCGACGCGGGGAGGUAGUGACAAUAAAUACUGAUACAGGGCUCUUUUGGGUCUUGUAAUUGGAAUGAGUACAAUUUAAAUCCCUUAACGAGGAACAAUUGGAGGGCAAGUCUGGUGCCAGCAGCCGCGGUAAUUCCAGCUCCAAUAGCGUAUAUUAAAGUUGUUGCAGUUAAAAAGCUCGUAGUUGAACCUUGGGCCUGGCUGGCCGGUCCGCCUCACCGCGUGCACUGGUCCGGCCGGGCCUUUCCUUCUGGGGAGCCGCAUGGCCUUCACUGGCCGUGUCGGGGAACCAGGACUUUUACUUUGAAAAAAUUAGAGUGUUCAAAGCAGGCCUUUGCUCGGAUACAUUAGCAUGGAAUAAUAGAAUAGGA